AUAUAGCCUCCACAUUGACUCUGUACUGGUACAGUGCCCCCUGUAUAUAUAGCCUCCACAUUGACUCUGUACUGGUACAGUGCCCCCUGUAUAUAUAGCCUCCACAUUGACUCUGUACUGGUACAGUGCCCCCUGUAUAUAUAGCCUCCACAUUGACUCUGUACUGGUACAGUGCCCCCUGUAUAUAUAGCCUCCACAUUGACUCUGUACUGGUACAGUGCCCCCUGUAUAUAUAGCCUCCACAUUGACUCUGUACUGGUACAGUGCCCCCUGUAUAUAUAGCCUCCACAUUGACUCUGUACUGGUACAGUGCCCCCUGUAUAUAUAGCCUCCACAUUGACUCUGUACUGGUACAGUGCCCCCUGUAUAUAGAGCCUCACUUGUUAUUUUACUGCUGCUGUUUCAUUAUUUGUUACUUUAAUUUUCUAUUUUUUACUUAACACAUUUUUUUUGUUAUUAAAACUUCUUAAAGCAUUGUUGGUUAAGGGCUUGUAAGUAAGUAUUUCACUGUAAGGUCUACUACACCUGUUGUAUUCAGGGAUAUGUGACAAAUACAAUAUGAUUUGAAUUGAAUUAACUAAACAUGGCCAUUAAUAAUUGCAUAAUAACACAAGGCUACAACAAUAGAGUAAUAUGCUGUUUAUUCAAUCUGUUUGCCAGCUUCAGGUACGCUACACAACUGGCACAAACUGAUUUGCGAUGACUCCAGUGAUAUCUUAAUUUCAACAUAUGUAUUGUAUCAAAUAGGAGGUUACAGUAGCCUACAAUGGCAUAUAAAUGAAUAGUCUAUUUGAUGGCCAACUGAGGAAAAUGUAGCCAAUCAUUCUCCACAUUUAAUGUAAUUUUCAUUGUGGACUUUUUCCCAUAACAGAAGCAUGCUAGGGAGUUCCAUAACUUCCAUUUCCAAUUUCCACACGCGCAGCGCUCCAGACCCUAGAACUGUGCAUGAGUAAAACCUUUUACUUUAAACCACUUCUGAGCGAAUGUACCUAAAGAGCUCUUGUGCGCCUAAAGUCCUUUUGAAAUUCUUUGUCGCUGUUAUAUCAGUUAUUGGGCAUUAAUAUGUUUUAUGAACAUAUUAAUAAACACACCCCUCCCCCACCAUUCACUCACUCACUCACCCAAUAACAGCAUGCUCACUGCCUGAUAUAUAUAUAGCAUAUACGAGAAAUGGCAUGUCCGCUGCGGUGAAAUUGAGAAGUAUGCCAAAACACGCCACAAAUACAUUUUCAUCUGCGACAUCUUUUUCAAAGUAGACCAAUUCGCAGAAAAAUCGCGGACAUGGCAACUUUGCUUUCGUCACAAGAUAGCAAGUGCAAAGAGGAAAAAAUGACUCCGUUUUGUGGUUGUGGUCCCGAAUGUUGAAAGAAAAUUCAUGCUUCUGCUUUCUCUGUCAGUUAAGUAUUUGACUUAGAUUGGGACUCAAUGGAGCUGUCUGAAAGGUGCAGCAUUCCAAUGAAUGAUUAUCAGGAUGCCACAGGGUUACAGAAAACAUCUACCAGUCUCUUCGGUCUCCAAACAUACCGGCAAUACAGAGACAGGCAAAGCCACAUAACAGGAUGCAAUGGAAAACGCCUGUGUUCCCUCUUCUCCUCUUCAAUGCACUUUUACUGAUUACCAUUCUGGUAAUUGUUGGAGUUCACUAUUCCCAUUUCUCCGGGGCAUCUAAAAAUGGAGGUAGGUGACUUCAUAUGGCUACUGUACUGUAUAAGUUCAAUAAAUCACACAAAUGACCUCUAUUUAGUAGAUCAAGAUGAAACACAACAUGUGGAAUGUCUUGCUGUAGUUUUAGUUGUUUAAUUAGAAAGUACUGUGUUCUAUUUCAUUACCGGCGAAUCCUAACUUCCAAGUCACAUUUUCAUUUAGUCUCUCAUUGACAUUAAUGCAUGAUGUAAAACAUUUUUUUUUAAAAAGGAUUUAACUGGAAGUUAGGAUUCACCACUAACAUUAUAUAUUCACCACAUUUGACGUGGUUACCUUUCACACUGGAAUAUUUCAACAGCAUGGAGGAGCCCUAACUGCCAAUACGAGUAUGCUUAUGUUCAGAUUUCAGACAGAAUGAAGAAGUGUGGCAUCUCCAUCACAAUGGGUUCUAUCUAUUCUGGCAGAGUGUGGGGAUUGCUUAGCUGCUGAUAGCUUCUGUCGGCAGAACAACGCCACUCUGACCACAUUGCAGCCACAUAACACGGUUUGGUUGUUGGCCAGGGCCAGAGGACAGCAGCUUUGGGUCCUUGAGCUGAGGGAUACGACAGAGGGUUCUGCAGAUGGUGCCACAGAGGAUGAUUCUGAAAAUGAUGCUGAUUGUGCCCUCUUGACUGGUGAUCCCACCCAGCCCUCAAUGAGCCCAGCCCACAUGGAGAGCCAGGGGUGGGUGUGUGAGAGGAAGGCCUCUCUACCACACGUCUCUGGAAAUCAUUAAGAUCGAAUGUAUUCCAUUCAGGAAGGAAAGCAGUUUUUCCUUGAAUUUUUUCACUUUUUGUCACAAUAUGAAUCGUUUUUUAAUUCCUUGAACAAUGUCCUCGUUUUAAUGACCAAAAUGUCUUGCUUAAUUUUUGUAGUUAAUAUGCUUUGAUUCUGUCCUGCAUUGCAGGGCAACCGCUUGUGUCAGUGAACACAAGAGGGUGCUAUGUAAUUGUAGAGAUUCAAUAAGGUCUGCAAAGAACAUUUUGUUCACAGGAGAACAUUAAUGAAACAUACACACGUUUUCUUUACAUGCAGAAGAAGUCACUGACCUGUAGAUAAAACCAUAAGUUUGCUAGGCUUCUCAUCAUCAUUCAAAUGACGACUGAAGCACUACACAAUGUAGCUGAAACAUCUGUUAAAAAAAAGUAUAGUAAUUUAGCUAGGCAAGUCAGUUAAGAACAAAUUCUUAUUUACAAUGACGUCAGCCUACCCCAGCCAAUCCCGGAUGACGUUAGGCUAAUUGUGCGCAGCCCCAUGGGACUCCCAAUCACGGCUGGAUGUGAUGCAGCCUGGUUAUAAACCACGGACUACAGUGACACCUCUUGCACUGCCUGUGCCUUAGACCGCUGCGCCACUCUCAUCUAAAAAUGUACUUUUAUUUUAGUCCAAACCACAGUAGACUGUAUGAAGAAAUAACUGUAAAUGUUGAGACAUUUACUCAAAUUAGUUUAGCGAAACACACUUUCCAUAAAAAUGUAUCUUCGUGAAAUGUCUUCAGAUAGACCUGAGCUGAAACAUUAAACAGUCUCAAUUAUG